GGUUAAGCGACUAAGCGUACACGGUGGAUGCCCUGGCAGUCAGAGGCGAUGAAGGACGUGCUAAUCUGCGAUAAGCGUCGGUAAGGUGAUAUGAACCGUUAUAACCGGCGAUUUCCGAAUGGGGAAACCCAGUGUGUUUCGACACACUAUCAUUAACUGAAUCCAUAGGUUAAUGAGGCGAACCGGGGGAACUGAAACAUCUAAGUACCCCGAGGAAAAGAAAUCAACCGAGAUUCCCCCAGUAGCGGCGAGCGAACGGGGAGCAGCCCAGAGCCUGAAUCAGUGUGUGUGUUAGUGGAAGCGUCUGGAAAGGCGCGCGAUACAGGGUGACAGCCCCGUACACAAAAAUGCACAUGCUGUGAGCUCGAUGAGUAGGGCGGGACACGUGGUAUCCUGUCUGAAUAUGGGGGGACCAUCCUCCAAGGCUAAAUACUCCUGACUGACCGAUAGUGAACCAGUACCGUGAGGGAAAGGCGAAAAGAACCCCGGCGAGGGGAGUGAAAAAGAACCUGAAACCGUGUACGUACAAGCAGUGGGAGCACGCUUCGGCGUGUGACUGCGUACCUUUUGUAUAAUGGGUCAGCGACUUAUAUUCUGUAGCAAGGUUAACCGAAUAGGGGAGCCGAAGGGAAACCGAGUCUUAACUGGGCGUUAAGUUGCAGGGUAUAGACCCGAAACCCGGUGAUCUAGCCAUGGGCAGGUUGAAGGUUGGGUAACACUAACUGGAGGACCGAACCGACUAAUGUUGAAAAAUUAGCGGAUGACUUGUGGCUGGGGGUGAAAGGCCAAUCAAACCGGGAGAUAGCUGGUUCUCCCCGAAAGCUAUUUAGGUAGCGCCUCGUGAAUUCAUCUCCGGGGGUAGAGCACUGUUUCGGCAAGGGGGUCAUCCCGACUUACCAACCCGAUGCAAACUGCGAAUACCGGAGAAUGUUAUCACGGGAGACACACGGCGGGUGCUAACGUCCGUCGUGAAGAGGGAAACAACCCAGACCGCCAGCUAAGGUCCCAAAGUCAUGGUUAAGUGGGAAACGAUGUGGGAAGGCCCAGACAGCCAGGAUGUUGGCUUAGAAGCAGCCAUCAUUUAAAGAAAGCGUAAUAGCUCACUGGUCGAGUCGGCCUGCGCGGAAGAUGUAACGGGGCUAAACCAUGCACCGAAGCUGCGGCAGCGACGCUUAUGCGUUGUUGGGUAGGGGAGCGUUCUGUAAGCCUGUGAAGGUGUGCUGUGAGGCAUGCUGGAGGUAUCAGAAGUGCGAAUGCUGACAUAAGUAACGAUAAAGCGGGUGAAAAGCCCGCUCGCCGGAAGACCAAGGGUUCCUGUCCAACGUUAAUCGGGGCAGGGUGAGUCGACCCCUAAGGCGAGGCCGAAAGGCGUAGUCGAUGGGAAACAGGUUAAUAUUCCUGUACUUGGUGUUACUGCGAAGGGGGGACGGAGAAGGCUAUGUUGGCCGGGCGACGGUUGUCCCGGUUUAAGCGUGUAGGCUGGUUUUCCAGGCAAAUCCGGAAAAUCAAGGCUGAGGCGUGAUGACGAAGCACUACGGUGCUGAAGCAACAAAUGCCCUGCUUCCAGGAAAAGCCUCUAAGCAUCAGGUAACAUCAAAUCGUACCCCAAACCGACACAGGUGGUCAGGUAGAGAAUACCAAGGCGCUUGAGAGAACUCGGGUGAAGGAACUAGGCAAAAUGGUGCCGUAACUUCGGGAGAAGGCACGCUGAUAUGUAGGUGAAGUCCCUCGCGGAUGGAGCUGAAAUCAGUCGAAGAUACCAGCUGGCUGCAACUGUUUAUUAAAAACACAGCACUGUGCAAACACGAAAGUGGACGUAUACGGUGUGACGCCUGCCCGGUGCCGGAAGGUUAAUUGAUGGGGUCAGCGCAAGCGAAGCUCUUGAUCGAAGCCCCGGUAAACGGCGGCCGUAACUAUAACGGUCCUAAGGUAGCGAAAUUCCUUGUCGGGUAAGUUCCGACCUGCACGAAUGGCGUAAUGAUGGCCAGGCUGUCUCCACCCGAGACUCAGUGAAAUUGAACUCGCUGUGAAGAUGCAGUGUACCCGCGGCAAGACGGAAAGACCCCGUGAACCUUUACUAUAGCUUGACACUGAACAUUGAGCCUUGAUGUGUAGGAUAGGUGGGAGGCUUUGAAGUGUGGACGCCAGUCUGCAUGGAGCCGACCUUGAAAUACCACCCUUUAAUGUUUGAUGUUCUAACGUUGACCCGUAAUCCGGGUUGCGGACAGUGUCUGGUGGGUAGUUUGACUGGGGCGGUCUCCUCCUAAAGAGUAACGGAGGAGCACGAAGGUUGGCUAAUCCUGGUCGGACAUCAGGAGGUUAGUGCAAUGGCAUAAGCCAGCUUGACUGCGAGCGUGACGGCGCGAGCAGGUGCGAAAGCAGGUCAUAGUGAUCCGGUGGUUCUGAAUGGAAGGGCCAUCGCUCAACGGAUAAAAGGUACUCCGGGGAUAACAGGCUGAUACCGCCCAAGAGUUCAUAUCGACGGCGGUGUUUGGCACCUCGAUGUCGGCUCAUCACAUCCUGGGGCUGAAGUAGGUCCCAAGGGUAUGGCUGUUCGCCAUUUAAAGUGGUACGCGAGCUGGGUUUAGAACGUCGUGAGACAGUUCGGUCCCUAUCUGCCGUGGGCGCUGGAGAACUGAGGGGGGCUGCUCCUAGUACGAGAGGACCGGAGUGGACGCAUCACUGGUGUUCGGGUUGUCAUGCCAAUGGCACUGCCCGGUAGCUAAAUGCGGAAGAGAUAAGUGCUGAAAGCAUCUAAGCACGAAACUUGCCCCGAGAUGAGUUCUCCCUGACUCCUUGAGAGUCCUGAAGGAACGUUGAAGACGACGACGUUGAUAGGCCGGGUGUGUAAGCGCAGCGAUGCGUUGAGCUAACCGGUACUAAUGAACCGUGAGGCUUAACCUU
rnacentral:rRNA from 1 species